GCAGGGACAACAAAGGGGUGC
rnacentral:miRNA from 1 species